AUGUCUCCUGCCGACUCCCUCGCCGCCGGCCGGACCCGCCGCGCUGGAUCUCUCGCUCCCCUGCCCAAGCGCGUGUGCGUCUUCUUCGUGGACGCCGACGCCACCGAGUCCGAGUCCUCGGGGGACGAAGAGGUCAGGCGCGGCAAGCGGCGCGUGCGGAAGGUCAUCGACAUCAGCGUGAAGGCCUCCUCUCAGCCAUCUCCGGCGUCGUCCAUCCCACGGAGACGGGCUCUGCUGCUGCGGCGGCGGGCGGCGAAGGCCGGCGACGGCGGCUACCGCCGGCGGUUCCGUGGCGUGCGGCAGCGGCCGUGGGGCAAGUACGCCGCGGAGAUCCGUGACCCGAGCCUGCAGAAGCGGCUGUGGCUCGGCACCUUCGACACCGCCGAGGAGGCUGCCGCCGUGUACGACGACGCGGCCGUGCGCCUCAAGGGAUCCCACGCCGUCACCAACUUCUCGUCCAGCUCCAGCUCCGACUCCGACUACGUCGCGUCCAACAAGCCCCGCUCCCCGCCGCCGGCGAAGCUCCGUCCUACCGGGGAAGCGGCAGCAGAGGCCACCGCGACCGUUCCCCCAUCCGCGCCGUCGCCGCCCCCGGAGCCCGAGCCCGAGGACGACGACGCCGACUCGUUCAACCCGUUCGCCUCGUCCCUGACCCCCGUCCUCCGUAGCGCGCCCGGCGAGGCGCCCCGCCCAGUGGACCACCUGUACGGCGAGCUCUGCGACCUGGCCUCGACCGCUCCGCCAUCCAAGGCGGUGGAGUUCGACUGGCAGCAGCCGUGGUGGGAGAGCGAGCCGAAGGCAACGGAGUUCGACUGGCAGCUGCCGUGGUGGGAGAGCGAGGACUUCGUGAUGCCGCCGGCGGCGAGCGCCGUCAGCGUGAUAUGA
rnacentral:rRNA from 1 species